ensembl:misc_RNA Metazoa_SRP Metazoan signal recognition particle RNA
GUUGGGUGCGGUGGGGUGCGCCUGUAGUCCCAGCUACUCGGGAGGCUGAAGUGGGAGGAUCACUUGAGCCCGGGAGUUUGAGGGUGCAGUGAGCUGAUAUCAGGCCACUGCACUCCAGCCUGGGCGACAGAGCGAGACCCUGUCUCAA